rnacentral:rRNA from 1 species
AAUGGGCGCAAGCCUGAUCCAGCCAUGCCGCGUGUGUGAAGAAGGCCUUCGGGUUGUAAAGCCCUUUUGNUCGGGAGGAAGGGGNUUNGGUUAAUACCCNNAGNUCAUGACGUUACCCNNAGAAUAAGCACCGGCUAACUCCGUGCCAGCAGCCGCGGUAAUACGGAGGGUGCAAGCGUUAAUCGGAAUUACUGGGCGUAAAGCGCGCGNAGGCGGUUAUUUAAGUCAGAUGUGAAAUCCCCGGGCUCAACCUGGGAACUGCAUUUGAAACUGGCUGGCUAGAGUGCGGUAGAGGGGGGUGGAAUUCCNGGUGUAGCGGUGAAAUGCGUAGAUAUCNGGAGGAACACCGGUGGCGAAGGCGGCCCCCUGGACC